rnacentral:rRNA from 1 species
UACGGGAGGCAGCAGUGGGAAUAUUGCACAAUGGGCGCAAGCCUGAUGCAGCCAUGCCGCGUGUAUGAAAAAGGCCUUUCGGGUUGUAAAGUACUUUCAGUCGUGAGGAAGGUGUUAAGGUUAAUAACCUUAGCAAUUGACGUUAGCGACAGAAGAAGCACCGGCUAACUCCGUGCCAGCAGCCGCGGUAAUACGGAGGGUGCGAGCGUUAAUCGGAAUUACUGGGCGUAAAGGGCACGCAGGCGGUUAAUUAAGUUGGAUGUGAAAUCCCCGGGCUUAACCUGGGAAUGGCAUUCAAGACUGGUUAGCUAGAGUCUUGUAGAGGGGGUAGAAUUCCAUGUGUAGCGGUGAAAUGCGUAGAGAUGUGGAGGAAUACCGGUGGCGAAGGCGGCCCCUGGACAAAGACUGACGCUCAUGUGCGAAAGCGUGGGGAGCAAACAGGGAUUAGAUACC